GGAUCCUUAGCUCAGUAGGGAGAGCAUCACCUCGACAAGGUGGGGGUCACUGGUUCGAGCCCAGUAGGGUCCA
rnacentral:tRNA from 1 species